GGAAAAGAAACCAACAGGGAUUGCCCUAGUAACGGCGAGUGAAGCGGCAACAGCUCAAAUUUGAAAUCUGGCCUUCUGGUCCGAAUUGUAAUUUGUAGAGGAUGCUUUUGGUUAGGUACCUUCCGAGUUCCUUGGAACAGGACGCCUUAGAGGGUGAGAGCCCCGUACGGUUGGAUACCGAGCCUCUGUAAAGCUCCUUCGACGAGUCGAGUAGUUUGGGAAUGCUGCUCUAAAUGGGAGGUAAAUUUCUUCUAAAGCUAAAUAUUGGCCAGAGACCGAUAGCGCACAAGUAGAGUGAUCGAAAGAUGAAAAGCACUUUGAAAAGAGGGUUAAAUAGUACGUGAAAUUGUUGAAAGGGAAGGGCUUAUGACCAGACCUUUGCCUUGCGAAUCAUCCGGUGUUCUCACCGGUGCACUUCGCUUGGUUGAGGCCAGCAUCAGUUCUGGCAGUGGGAUAAAGACUUUAGGAAUGUGACUCCCCCGGGAGUGUUAUAGCCUAUUGUGUAAUACCAUUGCUGGGACUGAGGACCGCGCUUCGGCUAGGAUGCUGGCAUAAUGGUCAUCAGCCACCCGUCUUGAAACACGGACCAAGGAGUCGAACAUUUAUGCGAGUUUUUGGGUGUUAAACCCUCAAGCGUAAUGAAAGUGAACGGAGGUGAGAGCCCUUACGGGUGCAUCAUCGACCGAUCCUGAUGUCUUCGGAUGGAUUUGAGUAAGAGCAUAACUGUUCGGACCCGAAAGAUGGUGAACUAUGCGUGGAUAGGGUGAAGCCAGAGGAAACUCUGGUGGAGGCUCGCAGCGGUUCUGACGUGCAAAUCGAUCGUCAAAUCUGCGCAUGGGGGCGAAAGACUAAUCG
rnacentral:rRNA from 1 species